rnacentral:rRNA from 1 species
CCUACGGGAGGCAGCAGUGGGGAAUAUUGCACAAUGGGGGAAACCCUGAUGCAGCCAUGCCGCGUGUGUGAAGAAGGCCUUCGGGUUGUAAAGCACUUUCAGCGAGGAGGAAGGGUAGUGUGUUAAUAGCACAUUGCAUUGACGUUACUCGCAGAAGAAGCACCGGCUAACUCCGUGCCAGCAGCCGCGGUAAUACGGAGGGUGCAAGCGUUAAUCGGAAUUACUGGGCGUAAAGCGCACGCAGGCGAUUUGUUAAGUCAGAUGUGAAAUCCCCGCGCUUAACGUGGGAACUGCAUUUGAAACUGGCAAGCUAGAGUCUUGUAGAGGGGGGUAGAAUUCCAGGUGUAGCGGUGAAAUGCGUAGAGAUCUGGAGGAAUACCGGUGGCGAAGGCGGCCCCCUGGGCAAAGACUGACGCUCAGGUGCGAAAGCGUGGGGAGCAAACAGGAUUAGAUACCCGAGUAGUC